rnacentral:tRNA from 2 species
GAGGGCUUAGCUUAAUUAAAGUAAUUGAUUUGCGUUCAAUUGAUGCAAGGUAUAGUUUGCAGUCCUUA